rnacentral:rRNA from 1 species
GACGGAGGGGGCAAGCGUUGUCCGGAAUCACUGGGCGUAAAGCGCACGUAGGCGGGACGGUGCGUCGGUGCUGAAAGCGCCAGGCUUAACCUGGCGAGGCGUGCCGAUACGACCGACCUCGAGGCAGACAGAGGGUGGCGGAAUUCCGGGUGUAGUGGUGAAAUGCGUAGAGAUCCGGAGGAACGCCGGUGGCGAAAGCGGCCACCUGGGUCUGACCUGACGCUGAGGUGCGAAAGCGUGGGGAGUAAACCGG